UCCCCUGUGGCUCAUUUGGUAGAGCAUGGUGUGUGCAACGCCAGGGUUGUGGGUUCAAUUCCCACGGGGGGCC
rnacentral:tRNA from 1 species